GUUGGAAUUUCAAGUCAUCUAUUCACCCAGGCUGGCUGCUUAUCAGAAUCACCUGGGGAACUUUGGAAACAUUCACAUUUCCCGUGGCUCCCUUGGAGAGCUGAGUGGCCUCCAGAGAAGGUCCCUGAGGGUUUUCGCCCCCUUCACUGGUGUGGGAACUGAGGCAUGGGAGGCUGGAAACAUUGCCAAGUAAACCAAGUCUUCAGGUCUUGGGGAUUUUCCUGAAUUAACUAUUCUCUACUGAGGCAUGGCACGUGACCCAAACCAUGAUAUGGGAACCGGUGUAGAAGUGUGGCGUCACACAUCAGACAGACCUGCAAGUUGUCCUGACCCCUGGUUUCUUCACCUGCAAAAUAAAGAUGGCACUGCCCAUGCCCCUUGUUGUUACAUCAG